UUAAACAGCACGUGAAAUUGUUGAAAGGGAAGCGCUUGCGACCAGACUCGCCCGCGGGGUUCAGCCGGCAUUCGUGCCGGUGUACUUCCCCGUGGGCGGGCCAGCGUCGGUUUGGGCGGCCGGUCAAAGGCCCCUGGAAUGUAGUGCCCUCCGGGGCACCUUAUAGCCAGGGGUGCAAUGCGGCCAGCCUGGACCGAGGAACGCGCUUCGGCACGGACGCUGGCAUAAUGGUCGUAAACGACCCGUCUUGAAACACGGACCAAGACGCGGG
rnacentral:rRNA from 1 species